UUUUUCUAUCUAAUAAAAGGUUCACAAACCAUCUGUUUUUCUCCCUAAUGCCUUGCCCAAAGGUUUUUCGUUCCUAUUUCAGGCUUGGGGCCAACUGACAUUCCCCUCUUUUUUUUUCCCAGCCUUGUAAACAAACCCUUCUCUCUUUUUAAUCUUCCAGUGCUGUUUCCUACCCAUCGUUAUGCAUAUUCAUUGCGAGUAAACAUUUUUAGUGUCUACACUUAAUCUCUUCCACUGGCAAUUACUGUUCUAUGCUGUUUUGUAAUGCAGAAGGGCCAACGCUUUCCCUUCUAAUAACAGCUGGGUCGCAGAUGGGGCCUGCAGUCAUUGUAGAAAAUAAAAAUUUACAAGAUGCCAGUGGAAUUUAUUUCAGUUUUAUGGAGUCACAGGAGGAACCUUUCUGUUAUCCGCCUUCAGUGAAAUCUGCAGGCACAAGAAACAGCCAGAAGAGGGACCACGGAUUAAUUAGCAUACUCCGAGCUGACAUCACCGACGAUGUUGCCGAGGACGCUUAUAAAGCCAAGCACUGCUCUGGGCAUUUCAGCUCUGCUGUUAACCAAAGGGAAGGGCAAUGGCUCCUGACAAACGGAAAGCAGUGUCGGUGGCAGAGGGUGGCAGGCUUUGGGAAGGAGCUGAGGAAAAUGGAGCAUUCCCGAGCGCCGUGCUCCCGGCGGCUGCUGCGGCCCACGGGAUAUUGAGGAGCCGAGACAGUGCUGUCAUUGUAUCCUGGGCUUUAUCUGACAUACGAGUGGGUGAUUGCUAAGAUAGAAGCUGCUCCUACCCUGCCGAAACAGGCAUUUACAGGGAGCGCAGCCGUCUGCAACCGGGCUCCAAAAACAGCCAGACUGUCGUAAACUCCCUGGAAGAGCUACAGAAGCAGUUUGACAGGUGGAUUAGCUCUCUCUUAGCUUUGGCUUUGUGUUCCCAUCUCAGGCAACGGUGCAAAUAUAGUUUAUGCUAUAAAAGAUAAGGGUCAUAUGCACACAGAGUAUCUGCAUUACGGCUGGCACACCAUUUGCAGUUGUUUGUCAUGGGCCGCUUGCCUGUUAAAAGUGACAUUGAAAAUAUGAAAGGGGUAGCACAUAAAAUCCGCAGCUAGUUUAGGCAGUUUGUCAAAGCUGGAAACAACCGAGCAGCAACGAGGCAGCAGCUUCCAGAGCAUCAUCCGAAGCAGCUGGAGUUACUUAUUGAGAAGAAAUCACCUGAUAGCAGGAUAUACACCAACAUUUUCUGAAAACACAAUGGGA
rnacentral:lncRNA from 1 species